GUGGGGAAUAUUGCGCAAUGGGGGAAACCCUGACGCAGCGACGCCGUGUGAGGGAAGAAGGCUUUCGGGUCGUAAACCUCUGUCAGAAAGGAAGAACCUCCCAAGUCCGAAUAGGGCUUGGGACUGACGGUACUUUCAAAGGAAGCACCGGCUAACUCCGUGCCAGCAGCCGCGGUAAUACGGAGGGUGCAAGCGUUAAUCGGAAUCACUGGGCGUAAAGCGCGCGUAGGCCGCUUUGUAAGUCGGACGUGAAAGCCCUCGGCUCAACCGGGGAACUUCGUUAGAUACUGCGAGGCUUGAGUCCUGGAGAGGGUGGCGGAAUUCCGGGUGUAGGAGUGAAAUCCGUAGAUAUCCGGAGGAACACCGGUGGCGAAGGCGGCCACCUGGACAGGUACUGACGCUGAGGCGCGAAAGCGUGGGGAGCAAACAGGAUUAGAAACCCUAGUAGUCC
rnacentral:rRNA from 1 species